rnacentral:lncRNA from 1 species
AGAUACCAAGAUUUGCAUGUCGCUACUUAGUAUGUCAUAGUAAACUAAUUCAAGUCUGAAAGCUAUUACAUGUUUCUUUUGUCAAUCCUCGGGCCUGUUUACAUGGAGAGGUGGCGAAUACAAUGUACCGUAAAUGGUAUGAUCCUUGUGCAAAGUAGGACUGAGAAGAGGUGGUACAAAUGCAUGUAGAUACCAAGACUUGCAUGAUUCCCAAUAUUAUUGCAAUUCGGUAGCAAAGAUGUUGACACCACAUGUCGUCUGAUGAUGAGUUUUACAGGAUCGAAUAAGGUUUGGUCAUUGUAUUCCCUGAAAGGAACAAAAGGAGAAAAGAAACUGGAAGACCUGCAUGCCUAUCCGCAGGCCAAUGCUGGCUGCAGAUCAAUAUUGAAUGCUCUUAUGAAAACUCAUAAGACAGUAACAAAAAAAGGAAGCUGAGGAUGCUGUUUUUAAAACAUGUUCCAUUCAAAAAUGGUGGAUUGAAAUUUAAGAAAGGUGUGACGGGUGCGGCUACUGCAGGCAGGGAGGAUUUGACGGUCAGCCAGAGGAUUUGGAGAUAUACUGUAAUGUCUUUAAUGUGGACUUGCGUGUGAUUUAAGUUUUCACAAGGGUUUUAGUGUGUGUGAAAGUAUGUCAGUUUUCAAAAUUGAGCUAUGACAGUUUGCUCAAACUACAUAACUCAAAGAACUUUGAAGCGGUCUUGUUGGCGUCAUGAGCUUUUGUUUAAUACCAGUAUUGGUGAUAUAGGCCCAUGAUUAUAUACUGUAGAAAGUGAACAAGUUCACUGCUCGAUACAGAUAAUCAUAUGGCCUGAUCUCUGAAUGAUAUUUAUGAACUAAAAGAAGGCAUACAAUAAAAACAUACUGUAGUGAUUUAAAUUAUUGAUAUUGUUAAACUAGAUCUGGGCCUGUAUUCAUAAAGGAUCUUAGUAAAAAAAAUUAUCUAUAACUUAAUAUUCUUCAAUUAACUCAAAAACUUUUCACGCUCUUUAAAUAUUUCAC